ACCGCUAGGAUCGUUUACUUUGAGGAAAUUAGAGUGUUCAAAGCAGGCGUAACUCGCCUCCGAAUACGUUAGCAUGGGAUAAUGGAAUACGACUUCGGUCUUGUUUAAAAAAGUUUCGCUUGGCUGAAGUAAUGAUUGAUAGGGACAAUUGGGGGCAAUAGUAUUUAGUUGUCAGAGGUGAAAUUCUAGGAUUUACUAAAGACUGACCAAUGCGAAAGCAUUUGCCAAGGAUGUUUUCAUUAAUCAAGAACGAAAGUAGGGGGAUCGAAGACGAUCAGAUACCGUCGUAGUCUCUACCGUAAACUAUGCCGACCAGGGAUCCGGAGAGUUUGCAUGGAUGACUCCCCGGGCACCUUGUGAGAAAUCAUAAGUGUUUGGGUUUUGGGGGGAGUAUGGUCGCAAGGCUGAAACUUAAAGGAAUUGACGGAAGGGCACCACCAGGAGUGGAACCUGCGGCUUAAUUUGACUCAACACGGGGAAACUUACGAGGUCAGGACACUGUGAGGAUUGACAGAUUG
rnacentral:rRNA from 1 species